GGUUCAUUCAAAUUUCUUCCCUAUCAACUUUCGAUGUUUGGGUAUUGGCCAAACAUGGUUGCAACGGGUAACGGAGGGUUAGGGCUCGACCCCGGAGAAGGAGCCUGAGAAACGGCUACUACAUCCAAGGAAGGCAGCAGGCGCGCAAAUUACCCAAUCCCGACCGGGGAGGUAGUGACAAUAAAUACUGAUACAGGGCUCUUUUGGGUCUUGUAAUUGGAAUGAGUACAAUUUAAAUCCCUUAACGAGGAACAAUUGGAGGGCAAGUCUGGUGCCAGCAGCCGCGGUAAUUCCAGCUCCAAUAGCGUAUAUUAAGGUUGUUGUGGUUAAAAAGCUCGUAGUUG
rnacentral:rRNA from 1 species